ACGUAUCUCUGACGGGAGUGUGGCCGCCCUGCUCCGACCCGAAACGGCCGUGCAGCGGGUGGGUCCGCCCCCGUCCAAAAACCACAAACCCACCGUGAACCUUAACGGCGGAGGGGCCUCGGUCUCUGUGCCGUGUGCCCCGAGGCCGCAUACCAAACUCCAGUUGCAAAGAAUGUCCUUGCGGACACUGUGCCGCCUAAAACACAUAA
rnacentral:misc_RNA from 1 species